AGUCGUAACAAGGUAACCGCAAGUCGUAACAAGGUAACCGUAGAGUUUGAUCCUGGCUCAGGAAAGUCGUAACAAGGUAACCGUAGAGUUUGAUCAUGGCUCAGCCUUUGACUUAAAUAAAUGGAGAAGUCGCAACAAGGUAACCGUAAGUCGUAACGGGGUAACCGUAGAGUUUGAUCCUGGCUCAGCCUUUGACUUAAAAAAUGGAGAAGUCGUAACAAGGUAACCGU
rnacentral:rRNA from 1 species